rnacentral:rRNA from 1 species
AAGCCUCAUACAUGCAAGUCGAACGAGAAAGCAUCUUCGGAUGUGAGUAAAGUGGCGGACGGGUGAGUAAUACAUAGGAAUCUACCCAAUGGCGGGGGACAGCUCGAGGAAACUCGAAUUAAUACCGCAUAAUCUCUACGGAGUAAAGAGGGCUUCGGCUCUCACCAUCGGAUGAGCCUAUGCAAGAUUAGCUUGUUGGUAAGGUAAUGGCUUACCAAGGCUACGAUCUUUAGCUGGUUUGAGAGGAUGACCAGCCACAUCGGGACUGAGACACGGCCCGGACUUCUACGGAAGGCAGCAGUAGGGAAUAUUGGACAAUGAGCGAAAGCUUGAUCCAGCUAUGCCGCGUGUGCGAUGACGGCCCUCGGGUUGUAAAGCACUUUAGGUAACGAGGAAAAGUUAGGUGUUAAUACCACUUAACCAUGACGUUAAUUACAGAAUAAGCACCGG